GCACAGUCAACAGAUUGGCAAAUAAAGCGAACGUGCCAUGACUUGAUAUGCUCAUAGUGGUACCCAGGCGUGUAGUGCAGGAGCAGACCCCUCCAGGAGUCUCUGUGAAGUCAUUGUCACCUCAUGCCCAGGUGAGGAAAAGUCCAGGUAACGUCAGAGCUACUGGCCUCUCGUCAGGAGUAUUUGGGUGCCGCUGUACUGUAAUGUAAGGGUCCCCACAUCACUCAAGUCCCCCCUAACCUCUACUGUCUUCAGGGGUGUGGGGUCCUGGAGAGAAAACACCGUUGCCAGGGGCAGAAGUUUUGUCACCACAGCGUCACUCCUGGGCCUGCAGAGCCUGCACGUGAACAUAGCAUCUCCCUGACCACAUCACUGAGGUGUUCAAAGGAAAGGGAAGGACAGAGUCUGGUUAGCACCCAGCUAUGUGUGGGUGCCAUCCUGGGUCAACCACUGUGAAGUAGGAUGUCAUGUUGAGCCCCUGGACAAUUACAAGAGCUGAGUCCUUGGAGGAUGCAGAAGGCAGAAGAAGAUAACAGGUGAGCUCUUCACCUCAGGAAGGGCUUGCUGUCUUGGCAGAACCCUGUCUUCAGGCCAGAAGUCUCCAUUGUUCAGAAAAGCAUCCAGAGAGGCCAGGCAGGUGACUCAGCAGAUUGCUGCCUGCCUUGACACCUGCAGAAACCCCCUCAUCCUGGCUCACGGUUCAAGGGUACAGUCCAUCAGGCAGGGAAGGAAUGGCAGCAGGAACUGGAAACAGCUGCUGACGUCAUAUCCAUAACCAGGAAGCAUGCAACUGCUCUGUUCUUUUUAUACAGAUCAGGAUCCUGGCCAGGGAAUGGUGCCACCCACAGUGGAUGGGUUUUCCUAUCUCAAUUAUCAUAAUCAAGGUAAUCCCCUACAGGCAUGCCCAAAGGCUAACCCUAAUCUGGAAAAUCCCUUACUGGUGUGCCUGGGAGUGUGUCGUCUUCUGGAUGAUUAUAGACCUGGUCAAACGGACCAUUAACACUAAUCAUCACAAUACACAUGUAUGAAUGAGUAAAACUUGUAGGAAAUAGAGAUAGAAGAUGAUAGAAGAGGCAAAAAGCACCUUUGUUCCAUUUCUCCAAAAGCGUCCAACUCCCACAGCAAUGUACUUGUUCUAGAUGUUGCCACAUUGCUUGCAGUUGUGUCCAACCUUUCGGUUUUACAACAUGGUACCAUCUAUGAGAUUCAUACUCAAGAAUCCUGCAAUCAGGUUGAAAAAAAAUGAGUCCCUUCUCAUAAUGCUUUUAGUAAGCUUACAGUUUUGUGUUGGGUCCUGUGGUAGUCAGGGUUCUCUAGAGAAACAGAACUAAUAAAAUGAAUAUAUGUUUAAAAUCUCAUGAUUUUAGGGCUGGGGAGAUGGAUGUUGGAAAAAUGCUUGCCCUGCAAGUAUGAGGCCCUGAGUUCUGUCCCCAGAACACAUGUGGAGAAGCUAGGCAUGGUGCUAUGCAGCAGCAGGCUUUUCCUUUUAGGCCACCAAUCGGCUCCCAAAUCAUGACACAAGAGACUUCUUAUCAGUUAUGAAUGCUCGGCCUAACCCAGGCUCGUUUCUGGCCAGCUCUUUUAAUUUACAUCAACCUGUUCCUCUUUAUCUACCUUUUGCCUCAGGGCUUUUUGCUUUUCUUUCCUUCUGUCUAUCUUACUUUCUCUGUGUGUGUGUGCCUCUGUGUGUGUUUCUCUGUGUCUCUGUGUGUGUCUCUGUCUGUGUGUGUUUCUGUGUGGGUGUCUCUGUGUGUGUGUCUCUGUGUGUGUGUGUGUGUGUGUGUGUGUGUGUGUGUGCACCACAUGUGUGCAGUGCCCACUGAGGUCAGAGUAGGACACAGAAUCCCCUUGAGUUGGACUUGCGGGCAGUUGUGAACCCCCUCACAUAGAGGUGGAAGCUGACCUCGGGUUCUAUGGGAAAGCCCCAAACUUCCCCUUAACGUCUGUCAUCUCUCCAGGUCAUCUAGCUUUUCAGGUGUGUUGUAGGGGAAGGAGAUACUGAAAUCAAGUCCUCAUGCCUGCAGAGUUUGUGUCAGUUUAACACAAGCAGGAGUCAUUUUGGAAGACAGAGCAUCAACUGAGAAAAUGCUCCCACCACAGUGCUUAUGAUCAAACCUGUGGGAUCAUUUUUUAAAUCCAUAAUUGAUAUAGGCGAACCCAGCUCACUGUGGGCAGUGCCACUCUUGGGCUGGUGGUCCUGGGUACUGUAAGGAGGCAGGCUGAGCAAGCCAUGGAGAGCAAGUUGGUAAGCAGUGCCCCUCCAUGGCCUUGGCGUCAGUUCCUGCUCUGAGUUCCUACCCUGGCUUCCCUCAGUGAUGGACUUACAAGCUAGAAAGUGAAAUAAAUCCUUUCUUCCCCAAGUUA